GACGAACGCUGGCGGCGUGCUUAACACAUGCAAGUCGAACGAGACGAUUGAAAGCUUGCUUUUGAGAGUCGAGUGGCAAACGGGUGAGUAACGCGUAGACAACCUGCCGCAAAGAUGGGGACAACAGUCCGAAAGGACUGCUAAUACCGAAUGUUGUCAAGUUUCCGCAUGGGAGCUUGAUUAAAGAUGGCCUCUACUUGUAAGCUAUCGCUUUGCGAUGGGUCUGCGUCUGAUUAGCUAGUUGGUGGGGUAACGGCCUACCAAGGCGACGAUCAGUAGCCGGUCUGAGAGGAUGAACGGCCACAUUGGAACUGAGACACGGUCCAGACUCCUACGGGAGGCAGCAGUGGGGAAUCUUCCGCAAUGGGCGAAAGCCUGACGGAGCAACGCCGCGUGAGUGAAGAAGGGUUUCGGCUCGUAAAGCUCUGUUGACGGGGACGAAUGUGCGAAAUGCGAAUAGU
rnacentral:rRNA from 1 species